GACGAACGCUGGCGGCGUGCCUAAUACAUGCAAGUAGAACGCCGUUGCGAACGGGUGAGUAACGCGUAGGUAACUUCCUCAUAGCGGGGGGUAAAUAUUGGAAACGAUAGCUAAUACCGCAUACUGUGAGCUGGACCUGCGUUGUAUUAGCUAGUUGGUGAGGUAAAGGCUCACCAAGGCGACGAUACAUAGCCUGCCCGAGAGGGUGAUCGGCCACCAUGGGAAUGAGAACCGGCCCAGACCCCGAAGGGAGGCAGCAGUAGGUAAACUUCGGCAAAGGACGGAAGUCUGACCGAGCAAAGCCGCGGGAGUGAAGAAGGUUCUCCGAUUGUAAAGCUCUGUUGUUAGAGAAGCGGUACCUGACCAGAAAGGGACGGCUAACUACGUGCCAGCAGCCGCGGUAAUUC
rnacentral:rRNA from 1 species